rnacentral:misc_RNA from 1 species
UCUCCGUUGGUGAACCAGCGGAGGGAUCAUUACUGAGUUCUGGGUCUAACCGACCCGACCUCCAACCCUUUGUUAUCCAACUCUGUUGCCUCGGGGGCGACCCUGACCUUCGGGUCUCGGGGCCCCCGGUGGACUAUUCAAACUCUGCGUUAAUUUGUCGUCUGAGUAUUGAUUAAAUCAAAUCAAAACUUUCAACAACGGAUCUCUUGGUUCUAGCAUCGAUGAAGAACGCAGC